rnacentral:rRNA from 1 species
UGGGGAAUAUUGGACAAUGGGCGAAAGCCUGAUCCAGCCAUGCCGCGUGUGUGAAGAAGGCCUUUUGGUUGUAAAGCACUUUAAGCGAGGAGGAGGCUACUUGGAUUAAUACUCUAGGAUAGUGGACGUUACUCGCAGAAUAAGCACCGGCUAACUCUGUGCCAGCAGCCGCGGUAAUACAGAGGGUGCGAGCGUUAAUCGGAUUUACUGGGCGUAAAGCGUGAGUAGGCGGCUUUUUAAGUCGGAUGUGAAAUCCCUGAGCUUAACUUAGGAAUUGCAUUCGAUACUGGGAAGCUAGAGUAUGGGAGAGGAUGGUAGAAUUCCAGGUGUAGCGGUGAAAUGCGUAGAGAUCUGGAGGAAUACCGAUGGCGAAGGCAGCCAUCUGGCCUAAUACUGACGCUGAGGUACGAAAGCAUGGGGAGCAAACAGG